UCAAACCGGCGUGAGCCAGGUUGGUUUCUAUCCCCAAUAAAUUAAAAUAUUUUGGUACGAAAGGAUUAAAUAUUUAAAAUAAUUUUUUUAUUUAUGAAUAAAAUUAAU
rnacentral:rRNA from 1 species